CUCGGGCUACAACACGGGACCCGGGCGCUGCUCCGACCCCUCGUGUCUUGUGUUGCAGCCGGAGGGAC
ensembl:miRNA microRNA 187